GGGACUGGCUGGAUUUUGUGGUGUGUAAGGGAGGUAAUAAUGGGGACAAUGAUGAUGACAGCCAGUAGCAUUUACUACACAACAGGAACCACGCGAAAUGCUUGACAAUCACAAUCACUUUUCACUCGAGUAUCUAGUUACCUAACCAUCACCAUUACCACGAACUAAUUUAAUUCUUCUUUGAUCCUUAUGAGAAAGAUACUAUCAUUAUCCUAAUUUUAGACAUAAAAAAGGAUUUUUUUUUUUUUUUUUUACAGGAAAGAGAACAGCAAAGGCUUAGUGGUUAUGGCACUGACUCGGGAGUCAGAGAGAACCUAUUCCAGACUUCCUUCUGUCUGCAUCUCAGUUACACACACACACGCACACGCACACGCACACGCACACGAGCUGAGAACCAGACCUUCAGGGUAGGGCUCCUGUCCUGCCCUAGCACCCAGAAGAGGACUCACCGGGGCUGAGUGACAGGGAUAAUGGGCUCUGGCCUCCUCUUGGCCUGCGGUGCCUCUUCCUCCAGGGGGG
rnacentral:lncRNA from 1 species